GCGGUUGUGUGUAAAAACAAGAGAGAAAGUGCAAACAAGAAAGAAGAGCACUGACCUGUUUUGUUUUGAGUUGAGCAGAUUGAUCAGGCUAAUGUCUCCGGAGAUAUAGAGAUCCAAUCCAUUCAUCACCAUGGUGGCGACGAGUUUCACGGGUUUCUCCGCUCGCCACCUUUUAAAGCGGCCUGCAAGAAGAAACGAAAUCGCCAUGAGUUACUUACGACAUAAAUUUCCCUCCAGGCCUGGGGGGAAAUAACGGACAAGAAAUGGCUAACAUUUACGAAACUAGUUCCUCCCCGCAACAGGACGAGCAACGACGCCAAGCUAUUUACGAGCACGGAUACGCCAAAGAUACAUAUUUACGCUCAUGAUCAUCACUCCAGCCACAUGAAAAAGAAUGUGUGUUGUACCCGCGAGCUUGGCUUGCAAGAUAUACAAUAAGAAACUCCAAAGCAAAUGCAAGGGAAAAGAAGAAGGAUUCAGCAAGAUGAAAAGGAAUUCAUUUCAAGUUGCAACGCCACAGAUCCAUAUGCAUUCAAUGGAGGAGCCAGAAGGGAAAUUUAUGCUCUUAAAGGCACAGGCCGUCGGGAGAGAGCUUCAUGAUUUGACUCCAAGCGGCCGGACACAGAGCCACAACCGCACCACCAUUUAAAACACUAGAGCUCCAAGCGAUCCCUCACUUCCUGAAUCCUCCUCACUCUCCCACUGACCUUCACAUUGGAGCAUUUAUGUUGUAACAUACCACGCCCCACCUUCUGGCGCGGCCGAGGCAUGGCCAGCGAGCAACAGUCCUCCUGCACAGUGGGGACGGGCAAGCAGAGGGGGAGUUAAAACAAAGUUCCAGAAGUUAAGGAUCACUCACUGCUAACAACGAAAGGAAACAAAAAAACCACCUGAUCCUAGCUCAUGAACCACGAACUUGUAGA
rnacentral:lncRNA from 1 species